rnacentral:misc_RNA from 1 species
AAGGAAUAUUACGGAAACCUACACACGCGUCGAAACUUUGUUUAGUUUUGAGAGAUUUAACUCUCAAAACUUGUUCUUUGAAAACUAGAUAAUAUCAAAUAUAUUUUUUCAUAAUGAAACCGAGAACACCGCGUUUUUUGAGUUUUUUAUUGAAGUUUAAUUAUCGCUAAACUCAUUAAUCACAUUUACCGUUAGGUAAAUGAGGUU